AGGAAUCGUACCCCAAACCGACACAGGUGGUCGGGUAGAGAAUACCAAGGCGCUUGAGAGAACUCGGGUGAAGGAACUAGGCAAAAUGGUACCGUAACUUCGGGAGAAGGUACGCUCUUGAUGGUGAAGUCCCUCGCGGAUGGAGCUGACGAGAGUCGCAGAUACCAGGUGGCUGCAACUGUUUAUUAAAAACACAGCACUGUGCAAAAUCGCAAGAUGACGUAUACGGUGUGACGCCUGCCCGGUGCCGGAAGGUUAAUUGAUGGGGUUAGCGCAAGCGAAGCUCUUGAUCGAAGCCCCGGUAAACGGCGGCCGUAACUAUAACGGUCCUAAGGUAGCGAAAUUCCUUGUCGGGUAAGUUCCGACCUGCACGAAUGGCGUAAUGAUGGCCACGCUGUCUCCACCCGAGACUCAGUGAAAUUGAAAUCGCUGUGAAGAUGCAGUGUACCCGCGGCUAGACGGAAAGACCCCGUGAACCUUUACUACAGCUUGGCACUGAACAUUGAACCUACAUGUGUAGGAUAGGUGGGAGGCUAUGAAGACGUGACGCCAGUUGCGUUGGAGCCGUCCUUGAAAUACCACCCUUGUAUGUUUGAUGUUCUAACUUAGACCCGUUAUCCGGGUUGAGGACAGUGCCUGGUGGGUAGUUUGACUGGGGCGGUCUCCUCCCAAAGAGUAACGGAGGAGCACGAAGGUGGGCUAAUCACGGUUGGACAUCGUGAGGUUAGUGCAAUGGCAUAAGCCCGCUUAACUGCGAGAAUGACGGUUCGAGCAGGUGCGAAAGCAGGUCAUAGUGAUCCGGUGGUUCUGUAUGGAAGGGCCAUCGCUCAACGGAUAAAAGGUACUCCGGGGAUAACAGGCUGAUACCGCCCAAGAGUUCAUAUCGACGGCGGUGUUUGGCACCUCGAUGUCGGCUCAUCACAUCCUGGGGCUGAAGUCGGUCCCAAGGGUAUGGCUGUUCGCCAUUUAAAGUGGUACGCGAGCUGGGUUUAGAACGUCGUGAGACAGUUCGGUCCCUAUCUGCCGUGGGCGUUGGAAGAUUGAAGGGGGCUGCUCCUAGUACGAGAGGACCGGAGUGGACGAACCUCUGGUGUUCGGGUUGUGUCGCCAGACGCAUUGCCCGGUAGCUAAGUUCGGAAUUGAUAAGCGCUGAAAGCAUCUAAGCGCGAAGCGAGCCCUGAGAUGAGUCUUCCCUGACAGUUUAACUGUCCUAAAGGGUUGUUCGAGACUAGAACGUUGAUAGGCAGGGUGUGUAAGCGUUGUGAGGCGUUGAGCUAACCUGUACUAAUUGCCCGUGAGGCUUAACCAU
rnacentral:rRNA from 1 species